rnacentral:rRNA from 1 species
GACGAACGCUGGCGGCGUGCUUAACACAUGCAAGUCGAACGGAAAGGCCCUGCUUUUGUGGGGUGCUCGAGUGGCGAACGGGUGAGUAACACGUGAGUAACCUGCCCUUGACUUUGGGAUAACUUCAGGAAACUGGGGCUCAUACCGGAUAGGAGCUCCUGCUGCAUGGUGGGGGUUGGAAAGUUUCGGUGGUUGGGGAUGGACUCGCGGCUUAUCAGCUUGUUGGUGGGGUAGUGGCUUACCAAGGCUUUGACGGGUAGCCGGCCUGAGAGGGUGACCGGCCACAUUGGGACUGGGAUACGGCCCAGACUCCUACGGGAGGCAGCAGUGGGGAAUAUUGCACAAUGGGCGGAAGCCUGAUGCAGCAACGCCGCGUGCGGGAUGACGGCCUUCGGGUUGUAAACCGCUUUCGCCUGUGACGAAGCGUGAGUGACGGUAAUGGGUAAAGAAGCACCGGCUAACUACGUG